rnacentral:lncRNA from 1 species
GCGCCCGCGGCCGGCAGCGGUGUGUGCGCCUCAGCCGGGCUCGGCCGGGAGCUGGUGGUGCGCUCUCCCGCCGCGGGGCUGCACAAUGGCAGUCGCUCAGUAGGAUGGAUCCUGCCGUGGCUUUUGUUCUGCAGAUCCACCCAUCCUCCUAGCAGUCAAGUACCAGGCUAUGGUUUUCUCUCUGGGGAUCUUUCUUCCGCGUUCUGCCGGUGUCUCGGAUGAGGUUUUGGCCUCGGCUGGGAUUUCACUACCUUACUUUUCGUUUGGCUUCUCGCUGAAAAAAAAAAAAAAAAAGGGAUUUAUUUUAUUUUCUCUCCACGCUUUUGGUUAUAGUCCGGUGUUGAUCUAGGGGGAAUAACCAUUCAGCCUGGCUGAAAAAAAGCAUCCGUUGAAAAGUCUCAAAGAAAUAUACCACGUGAGGAAAAAAAACUGGGAGAAGAUCGGAAUAUAAUCGGUUUUUCUAUGAUAAAACUGGUGCCCCUCUUCAGGAGAACUGGUCUCAAUUUAUUAUUAUGCAACCACAAGGAUCUCUUCUUUCUCAGGGUGUAUAAGCUGCUGGAUUGCUUUUCGCCCAAAUCAAUGUGGUUUCUUUGGAACAUUUUCAGCAAAGGAUCGCAUAUGCUGCAGUGUCUUUGUGGCAAGAGUCUUAAGAAAAACAAGAACCAAACUGGUAAGCAAUCCAUUGCACUGCGUUGUUUUUCUUUUAUGCUACCCUGUCUGUUGCUCGCCGAGGUAGAUCUGCAAUCCUGCUGAGGGGAGAAGGGGGAAAUAGAAGGAGGCCAGCACGGACAUGCAUGUGCAUACGUGUAUGAAUAAGCAAGGAGCGGUUUGGAUUAGCUUCAGCCACUGUCACCACGGAAAAGAAAGAAAAAAGAAAAUAGUCAAAGGCGACCUUAGCCUAGCCUGCAUCUCUUAGUUUCUAUGUGCUAUUUCCAAGGAGGAAACUUUCGUAUCGCUACCCUUCUUGAGGGGAAGCCGGUAGAGCCCCCCUUCCCUCUGCUCCCGUCCCCGAUGCGAGCCCCCUGUGCACACCCCCAGUCAGUUUUAGGAAGAGGAGCCCUGGUCUCCGGGCUGGUGUGAGCCGGCCCUGCCUGCGGUAGGCGAGUGUGCCGGGGCUCAGGUCCUGCACAGCACUUUCUGAUUAGCUUGCAAUAUGUCACCCCCCACCACACACGCACGCACUCCCACCCCCCCGCCUCGCUCUGCUCUCUGAGUCAAGCCCGGCAUCGCCCGGCCCGGGGGCUCCCCGUUGUCACUCACUCCCCGGGACCCUAGGCCGGGAAGGUGCAGGGUGGGUGAGGGAAGCGGGUGGACACUUUCUUGGGGAUUGUGCCCAGACGGCAGCUCAGCCCGCGAUGCCGGGCGGCAGCACCGCCUGGGCGGCUGCAUCGCCCCGCCGCCUCUCCCUGCCGGGCUGACCCCUCUGUGCACACGCCGGUGUUUCUGCGUCCAUCUCCGUGUCUGCCUGGCAGCCAGAAUCAUGCGCUUCGGUUCAGCCCGGCUCCGAGGGGGAAACUUGCAGUGCAUUACAUAAGGAAUGCAAAUGUAGGUACGCCGGGCCGCCCGGGCCCGGGGUGUCACGCUGCUGCUGCUGUUGCAUCCCUCUUGCCCGGGGCUACCGUGCGGCCAAGCCCGCGGCUUGGCGAGCAAGGUGGGCGAGAAGGGAUGCUCGGCGGGCGGGAGAGCCUGGAGGUGUUCAGGGGAAACACCGGCCCUCCCCGCCCCCCCUACACCGGGCUCCGGACCCCCCGGCCGGCAGGCUGUCUGCAGGCACUUGUGUGCCUGAGGAGGCGAGAGCCUCUGGAGCCCGGGCUGUGAGGGGCGGGAGGGAGGGGUGGAAGGAGGGAUGCCGUGUGUGCGCCCUGGUUUGUGUGUGCCGGCUGCCCUGCAGUGGCAGCUCCCGAGCUGGAGGCUCCUGACGCUGGCACUGCAGUGUAGUAGAUCAUAGGCUUCCGUUGCCGCUCUGACACCCCAACAUCAACAAGCAGCAGCCCUGGCAGCCCGCACCCCUCUCCUCCCUGGCAGCCGGGGUGCCGGCUCCGGCUUUGCCCAGCUCAGGGCCGGUGCAGAGAGUCGAGGUGGGCACCUCGGCGGAUUUUUUCUUGUCCCCCCGUCCCCCGCUCCCAUUUGCCAGCUCGUGUCGCCCCUUUCCUCCCCGCCGCUGCCGCUGCAGCAAAGAGCAGCCACUUCUCGGCAUACCAAAGAGGCCGAAAUUCCCCGCCGGAGGCUGCGCUCAGCCUCCCGCAAAGCGCCCUUUGCUUCACUCGUCCCUUGGUGCUGCAGCGAGCCGCCUCCCCCGGCCGGGGGCAAUUUCCAAGCCUUGUGCCCCCGCCGGGGAGGGAUGGGGCAGGGCAGCCGGAUACCUUCUCGCAGCCCCUGGGGACACCCCCUCUCCCCCUGCCCGGGCUGUGAAUGCGGGGGCCGUGACCGCAGGAGGAGAGCGGAACAGCCGAGUGACUCUGCCUGCCCUGCCCGCUGCUGCCACCGCCCGCUCCCCCCGGGGGGGUCCGGCUCCAGCGCCCUGGUGCUCUGGGCGAGCUGCUAUGCUCCGGAGGAAGGGCUUGGGGUGUGUUGUGUGUGGUUUCUAGACCUUUCAGUUUGCAUACUGGAGGGGGGGGGGGGGGGGAGCCGGACAAACAUACCCUCCCCCAGACCCCCACUCCCCAAAGGCCCGUGUCCUUUCCUUGCGGAGGGGACCCUAGUAAGGAAACGGCCCCUGAAACCGAGACGUGUCCUUCGGAAUGUCAGGGCCCGCAGCACACCUUUCCCCCUCCCCAGGGACUUUGCCGCACUCGACCCCCUCCGCACGGGACGAGUGGGAUUUAGUGGCAGAAGUGGCAUUACACCCUGCCACCACCCUGCUCAGGGCGGAAGAAUAAGCGGGGCGGACUGGGGGGGGGGCAAACACCCGGGGGGCCGGGCUGGAGAAUCGCUGCCAAGGAGUGCCAGGGGGACACGGAGCGUGGAGUUGGGGAUUGCAGCUACCCUCCCCGCUCGCACAGUUUGCGCUGCUCAGCUCCGGUCCGACGUGAUCCCGGCCAAGCCGCAUCAUGCCCUGUCCUGACACCCCGUUCUCAGAAGCGCUAAACUGCGGCUAGCUGUCUGGGGAGGCUAAUAAUCCGCUUGGCCGGAUUAGCUGGUAGCUCGGUCACAGGCGCUGUUGCUCCGCCGGUAGAUCAUCUCCAUAUAGGCUUGAGUCGCCCGCGGGAGCGCCGGGAGCCGGUGCCGUGAUGCCCGGCCUCGUCCGGUGCCCUGACCCGUGGGGCUCCCCACUCUGCCUGCGGGAGCCGGCGCCUCCUCUUCCCCUCUGCGGCAAGGGGCUCCGCUACCCCUCCCAGGCCCUUCUCCGGCGUCCUUUCCAGCCAAACUUUUCAGGAGCUGCUGUAUUUUUUUGAUCUCAAAAGACAUCGCACGAGCGAGCAGCUGCCGCUGAUCCAACCGUGCGGAAAAUCAAGCAGGUGAGGCAGCUCACGGCGGCUGUAAUUUCAGUUCAUUUAGCUAUUUUCGGCCUGCUGCACUUUUCUAAUCGUCCCUUUCAAGAGCUGGUCUUUUUCCAGAAAUGGGACUGGGUGGCUCAUUUCCAGAUGUUCUUGCUUUGCAAUUCCUCUCCACCUCUGGCUGCAGCCCUCCCUUUCUUGCAUGACCUCCUCCCGGGGCUCCCCUGCAUGCCGGGGGUCCCUUCUGGCCCUGCCGGGGCUACUGACACCAGGCAGAGCUCCAGAGUGAGGGGAGAGCUAGGCAGAGAGGGAUGGGGUGUCCGGUGGGGUGUGUGCAAGUCUCUGGCACGGUUGCGUCAGGAGGCUUUGUUUUACCAAUCAUAGAAAUGCAGCUGGCUGAAACCCCUUUGCUUCUAAUUUGGUAUCCCAGAUAGAGGAGCUGCCUUUGUUUGCUACAGUUAUUUACCUCUUCACAUUUCUUCAUAAGGAGAAAAACUUUGAGAAUCAAUAAGUGUGGCUUUGCUUGCACUGAUUGAAUUUGUUUGAGUUUUCUUGAGUUUAAUAGUACAAAAAGUGACCGAGCUUCACAUAUCUGCAGCAUCCUGUCCAGCAUGAAAACAAUUGCAAUGUGCUAGCUUCCCGGGGCCUCAGCUACUUUUGCAAUAUUUCCCAUCUAACUCUGCCCUUCCAGCUUGUCAUACACACAGAGAGGACUUCACAAAGUGUGAGGGAAAACAGACUUUUUCUCACAAAGAAUUAAAAGUUGCUCAAAACCAUAAGGUCUGAGCUAGGGCUUGUAAUGAUAAGAUGCCAUCCUGGUGGCUCCCCCAUGCCUUGAGGCGCUGAACUGGGUACAUUCAGUUAGGGAAUGGUUAAAUCAUGGGGAGGGUUUGGGGCUUGAGGGAAAAUGGGGAAGGAGAGAAUCCCUGGGUGUUUUUUUGAAUUAAAUACAGCAAAUUAAAAGAUUUAUUUUAUUCAUUUUAUUUUUUUUACUUAAGGACAGCUGUUAGGGUGCCAAUGGGAGAUGGGUUAGUUGGCUGGAGUACUAGAUAGCAGGAACUGCUAUCACAUUUCACUCCUGGUAGUAACCCAGCA